CAGCAGCCGCGGUAAUACGUAGGUGGCAAGCGUUGUCCGGAAUUAUUGGGCGUAAAGGGCUCGCAGGCGGUUUCUUAAGUCUGAUGUGAGAGCCCCCGGCUCAACCGGGGAGGGUCAUUGGAAACUGGGAAACUUGAGUGCAGAAGAGGAGAGUGGAAUUCCACGUGUAGCGGUGAAAUGCGUAGAGAUGUGGAGGAACACCAGUGGCGAAGGCGACUCUCUGGUCUGUAACUGACGCUGAGGAGCGAAAGCGUGGGGAGCGAACAGGAUUAGAUACCCCGGUAGUCCCUGUCUCUUAUAC
rnacentral:rRNA from 1 species